GGUUGGGGAUGGACUCGCGGCCUAUCAGCUUGUUGGUGAGGUAAUGGCUCACCAAGGCGACGACGGGUAGCCGGCCUGAGAGGGUGACCGGCCACACUGGGACUGAGACACGGCCCAGACUCCUACGGGAGGCAGCAGUGGGGAAUAUUGCACAAUGGGCGAAAGCCUGAUGCAGCAACGCCGCGUGAGGGAUGACGGCCUUCGGGUUGUAAACCUCUUUUAGUAGGGAAGAAGGGAGCUUCGGUUCUUGACGGUACCUGCAGAAAAAGCACCGGCUAACUACGUGCCAGCAGCCGCGGUAAUACGUAGGGUGCAAGCGUUGUCCGGAAUUAUUGGGCGUAAAGAGCUCGUAGGCGGUUUGUCGCGUCUGCUGUGAAAUCCCGAGGCUCAACCUCGGGCUUGCAGUGGGUACGGGCAGACUAGAGUGCGGUAGGGGAGAUUGGAAUUCCUGGUGUAGCGGUGGAAUGCGCAGAUAUCAGGAGGAACACCGAUGGCGAAGGCAGAUCUCUGGGCCGUAACUGACGCUGAGGAGCGAAAGCAUGGGGAGCGAACAGGAUUAGAUACCCUGGUAGUCCAUGCCGUAAACGUUGGGCGCUAGAUGUAGGGACCUUUCCACGGUUUCUGUGUCGUAGCUAACGCAUUAAGCGCCCCGCCUGGGGAGUACGGCCGCAAGGCUAAAACUCAAAGGAAUUGACGGGGGCCCGCACAAGCGGCGGAGCAUGCGGAUUAAUUCGAUGCAACGCGAAGAACCUUACCAAGGCUUGACAUACACCGGAAACGGCCAGAGAUGGUCGCCCCCUUGUGGUCGGUGUACAGGUGGUGCAUGGUUGUCGUCAGCUCGUGUCGUGAGAUGUUGGGUUAAGUCCCGCAACGAGCGCAACCCUCGUUCUAUGUUGCCAGCGGGUUAUGCCGGGGACUCAUAGGAGACUGCCGGGGUCAACUCGGAGGAAGGUGGGGAUGACGUCAAAUCAUCAUGCCCCUUAUGUCUUGGGCUUCACGCAUGCUACAAUGGCCGGUACAAAGGGCUGCGAUACCGUAAGGUGGAGCGAAUCCCAAAAAGCCGGUCUCAGUUCGGAUUGAGGUCUGCAACUCGACCUC
rnacentral:rRNA from 1 species